GUACUCAAUUUGGCAGAACAUACGCUAAAAUUGGAAUGAUCCAGAGAAGAUCAGUGUGGUGCCUGCGCAAGAAUGACACACAAAUUCAUGAAGCAUUCCAUAUUUUG